AUCCAGAUGACGAGUCCCAAACAGGAUGAAACGUGCAUCCUGGAU
rnacentral:hammerhead_ribozyme from 1 species